rnacentral:rRNA from 1 species
AGUGGGGGAUAACGUACCGAAAGGUACGCUAAUACCGCAUAUGCCCUGAGGGGGAAAGGAGGGGAUCGCAAGACCUUUCGCUUUCGGAGUGGCCGAUAUCGGAUUAGCUAGUAGGUGAGGUAAAGGCUCACCUAGGCGACGAUCCGUAGCUGGUCUGAGAGGACGACCAGCCACACUGGGACUGAGACACGGCCCAGACUCCUACGGGAGGCAGCAGUGGGGAAUUUUGGACAAUGGGCGCAAGCCUGAUCCAGCCAUGCCGCGUGAGUGAAGAAGGCCUUCGGGUUGUAAAGCUCUUUCGGACAGAAAGAAAUCGCACGAUCUAAUACAUCGUGUGGAUGACGGUACUGUAAGAAGAAGCACCGGCUAACUACGUGCCAGCAGCCGCGGUAAUACGUAGGGUGCGAGCGUUAAUCGGAAUUACUGGGCGUAAAGCGUGCGCAGGCGGCUUUGUAAGACAGAUGUGAAAUCCCCGGGCUUAACCUGGGAACUGCAUUUGUGACUGCAAGGCUAGAGUGUAGCAGAGGGGGGUAGAAUUCCA